rnacentral:rRNA from 1 species
GAUGAACGCUGGCGGCGUGCCUAAUACAUGCCAGUCGAGCGAACAGACGAGGAGCUUGCUCCUCUGACGUUAGCGGCGGACGGGUGAGUAACACGUGGAUAACCUACCUAUAAGACUGGGAUAACUUCGGGAAACCGGAGCUAAUACCGGAUAAUAUAUUGAACCGCAUGGUUCAAUAGUGAAAGACGGUUUUGCUGUCACUUAUAGAUGGAUCCGCGCCGCAUUAGCUAGUUGGUAAGGUAACGGCUUACCAAGGCAACGAUGCGUAGCCGACCUGAGAGGGUGAUCGGCCACACUGGAACUGAGACACGGUCCAGACUCCUACGGGAGGCAGCAGUAGGGAAUCUUCCGCAAUGGGCGAAAGCCUGACGGAGCAACGCCGCGUGAGUGAUGAAGGUCUUCGGAUCGUAAAACUCUGUUAUUAGGGAAGAACAAAGGUGUAAGUAACUAUGCACGUCUUGACGGUACCUAAUCAGAAAGCCACGGCUAACUACGUGC